GGUGAGGUGGCCGAGUGGUCUAAGGCGCCAGACUAAGGCGAUCCAAUCCUUGUUGCUUACGUAAUCUGGUCCUCCGGGGCGCGAGUUCGAAUCUCGCCCUCAUCA